UCAUAUAUUCCAAACCAACCACAUCGGAAAUGGCCGCCUUAAAAUUGGAAUGACUCAAAUGGACAUGUCGAAAGAAGACAGGACAGUUUCAAGGGCUAGAAAUUGUGGUGUUUCAAAAUGGUUGUAGUGGUCAAAUAGAACAAUCUCAUGAACCUUUAUCGUUGUCCUUUUUAGCCUGUUGGCUGUGGCGCCCCCCGAGCUUCGCAUGGCCGCCUCUCUGCUUCUCUUCUUUGAGCUCUAGGAAGAGAAUGCGCGGGGUUCACAAAUUUGGUAGCUGCAUGUGGAGUCUGGGCCAUCUCUACACACAGCCUUUCAACUUUUAAGGCUGUUUGUUAUGGUGAGGUGACUGGCCCGGGUUGUCAAGGUGUCUUCCCUCUCGGCUGUUUCCUUUGAAUAACAUAUAAUUGGCAAUAACCCUUUGUUUUGUCAACUACUGGUCAAUAUCAUGUCUGCAUCGUCAACAUUGUGUUUGCUGCCAUUUGUUAAAAAUAAAUGUAAAUAUAAAAAUUCAAAAUUUAUAAAUAAUAUCACACCGUGUGAAAACUUCUAGAA